CAGGCCUAACACAUGCAAGUCGAACGGAAAGGCCCAAGCUUGCUUGGGUACUCGAGUGGCGAACGGGUGAGUAACACGUGGGUGAUCUGCCCUGCACUUCGGGAUAAGCCUGGGAAACUGGGUCUAAUACCGGAUAGGACGAUGGUUUGGAUGCCAUUGUGGAAAGUUUUUUCGGUGUGGGAUGAGCUCGCGGCCUAUCAGCUUGUUGGUGGGGUAAUGGCCUACCAAGGCGUCGACGGGUAGCCGGCCUGAGAGGGUGUACGGCCACAUUGGGACUGAGAUACGGCCCAGACUCCUACGGGAGGCAGCAGUGGGGAAUAUUGCACAAUGGGCGCAAGCCUGAUGCAGCGACGCCGCGUGGGGGAUGACGGCCUUCGGGUUGUAAACUCCUUUCGCUGGGGACGAAGCGUUUUGUGACGGUACCUGGAGAAGAAGCACCGGCUAACUACGUGCCAGCAGCCGCGGUAAUACGUAGGGUGCGAGCGUUGUCCGGAAUUACUGGGCGUAAAGAGCUCGUAGGUGGUUUGUCGCGUCGUUUGUGUAAGCCCGCAGCUUAACUGCGGGACUGCAGGCGAUACGGGCAUAACUUGAGUGCUGUAGGGGAGACUGGAAUUCCUGGUGUAGCGGUGGAAUGCGCAGAUAUCAGGAGGAACACCGAUGGCGAAGGCAGGUCUCUGGGCAGUAACUGACGCUGAGGAGCGAAAGCAUGGGGAGCGAACAGGAUUAGAUACCCUGGUAGUCCAUGCCGUA
rnacentral:rRNA from 1 species